GAAUGCUCAAGCUGCAGCGCCCGUAAGAGUGCUCUGUCUGCUGAAAACCAAAGAUAAGGCUUAAUGGGUAUGGCUACAAUAAAGCUUUGGUGGUGCAACGCCGUCAGCAGCAUAAAGCAUAGGCUCUGUGGGAAGGAUCAGUGUUGCCUGACCUUGAGAAGAUGUGGUGGAUGCAGGGACAGCCUGACCAGUACUGAAAGCAGCUGAGAAGCUGGGAUAGCUGUUACAUGUGGAGGUGCAAGACAAUGCCUAAAGGCUUUUGGGAGGUGGGGGCUGAGCCCUCCAGCCAGCAGAGAAGGGUGAAGAAAGCGCAGUAAGAGGAAACUGCUUGCCACUGAAGCAAUUAAGUGGGUAUUAAAUAUUCACAACGUCCAAAUGAUUGGGUCAUCCAGACUGCAGAUCAAAAUCAAGCCUGCACUGGAAAUGCAGAGGAAAAUUACCUUUCCACAUGGUAUUGUGUUCAACACGACUAAGGAAACGACAUGUCUGUACACCUGGGCGGAUCUGGGUCUCCAUGCUGAUCUUUCCACUGCUUUGGUUAAACUACGCAGCUCUGGCAGACAGCAUUGCUCCUCAGCCAUUCCUUAGCACCGAGAAUGCUAAACCCGUGAGCCUCUGAGCCUGGAUGCCACGUGCAAAUCCUCCCAAGCAAGUACUUCUGGCAAGGUGAAGUGCAGUUGAAAGCCUGAUGCAGCCUUUAUCCAAAAAUGGAUUUGGACUUGAGCCUUGGAUAGAUCACGGAGCAUCCCUCAGGCCCGGCUCCCUGCUCAGGUGCAUCGUUGCCCGUCGGGGUGAGCCCAAGUCUGUGCGUGGCCCAGCACGGCGCCUGGGAAGGAGCUGGUGACUCUCGAGUCUUCCUGGUCCUGCUGCGCUCGGAGUGCAGUGCCCAGGCUGCUGUGCAAGGUGAGUUCUUCCCUCCACGUGAAGCGUUUACUCUCUAAAAAUGCCGAAAGCGCUGUCAUCCCUUAGCUAAAGGAGAAACACUCCUGUGUAAUUGGGUUUUUCUUUAUAUUUGGUGAACAGGCUCUCUAUUGUUCAGUAGGACUUUUGCAAAGUGCAGUAAGAAGAGGUGUAUUUGCACUGAGUACAACUAUUGUGUGGGCUCUUCCUACAAGAAAACCAUUAAUAAAAGGUCCAUUCCUUCUUCUCCAGGCAGUUCUUAUGCCAUCAUACACAAGAUGUAUUUUUCAAGUGAGGUGAUAAGUUUCUAGGAUGCGACAUUGGUUUUACCAUAGAGCCGCUGGCAUUAGUGAGAGGAGAAUGGUAACAUAAACCGUAAAAAUAACAGAUGGAAGGCAGAUAUAAUAAAAUGGAAGCACAGGCAAAUUAUAAAACCAUUCAAACUGUUCAUGCAGAUAAAACAAGGAAACAAAAACACAUCUGAAAUCACAAGGACUGGGUGUCUGUUGGGGGAAAAAAAUGUUUUUGUUUGUUAGUGUUGUUUGCAGUGAAGGCAUUCAAGUUCAAAAGACCUGAAGGAGAAGCAGUGAUUUCUGUUGCAGGGGGAACUUUUUAUUUUCCAUGUGGAGGCUUAAAGAUGGUGAUUUUUUUCUCAACCCACAUUGCAAAUGUUAACGUUCAUCCUAUGCCAAUGCAAUUACUUUAUUGCAAUAAUAAACUAUCAACUAAAUAAUUUAAGAAAGAUGAAGGGGGAAAAGAGCUUUCAAAAACCAAAAGGGCAGCUGAAUAAGACAGUGGAAACACAAAACGAUGCUGGUAUGUUUGACAGGAUAGCUGCCAGGGGCAAGGCUGAGGUGGCACGGGGAUAAGGAGCAGACCCCAUGAGAGCAGGGAUAUCCCCUGGGGAGAUGCAGGCACGCCGUGCCAGUAGGCAGGCUGCAGUUCAGGAGUGGCUUUAAAAAUAGCUAUAGCAUGAAUGUCUCUGUUUUUUACAGGAGAUUGUGGUUUCAGGGGUUUGCUUUGAGGCUGGAAUAGCACUGGUGUCUAUGUGGGACUAGGGGCCCAGACUGUGGGGUGCUUUUUACUGGUAACCAUGAAUUCUCCCACUUGAAGUGGGGCACACUGAGCAUCUAGUUGUGGUCCAGACCCCCAGGGGAAUUACCGGCCAUUGCAUCCAGGAGGGGAUUAUCCUUGUCGUUCACUGGUGGUGUUAGACAUGCAAGCAAGGUCUCAGGCUUGCCCUUGGAAGAUCCUGGAGCAUCUCCGAUCUGCUGCUGCUCCUCUCCAGCAUGUGCUGCUCCUCAGAGCCUCGGGCUUGCAGGCAUAGUGAAACGGUGUUAUGGGAGUGAGAUGUCUGCCUGUGGGAAGGAUGGCUUGGUGUGAUCAGAGCCCAGGACCUGUGAAGGUGAGCUGCUUGCAGGCAAUGUUUCCAGAGGGGUGAGGCUGUGCAGAGUCCUGGUGAGGCUGCGUGUGGGGGUGGGUGUUACUGUGAUCCUGUAACAGGGCUGAAAACUGUGACUAAUACUCCUGCUGGGCUGGCAGGCUGAACUGACCUCGCUGCCGUUUGUGCAUUGAUCACAGCACUCGCCGUGCUGUGGCGAUUUCGAGAGUGACAGUAACUGAUCCAUAAACCCCUGUGGCUGAACGCCUCACUGUGCAGACCCUGGCUUUGAGGGCUUUGCUGGCAGGUGAGCUCAUGGCCCUCGGUUCAUCAUGAAUGCCACCGCAGGGAAGAGGGAUGCUGGAGGCUGUGAGCACCACGGAGUGUCUGGUAAGAUGAUUUUUAAAGACCCAAACAAAAGAGUAGGUACAUUGGAGCAUCCAAAAUCAUCUAGCCAGUACCCUGCCUCCAGCAGAAUCUGGAAAAACACCAAGUGAUCCAUGCCUACAAACAAGUCUCCCAGUUUCUAGUAAUUAGCAGAUUAGAUAAUUCCUGAGCCAGAAGUUGCAUUGGGACCAAGGGGCUUAAAAGCUACAGACAGGUUUCUCCUCUGAAUUAAUUGAAUCCCUUUUUGAACCCACUUAUCCUUCUGGCUGCCAUACGUCUCAGAGUUUAAUCACACAGUGCCUGAUGAUUCAGCUGGGUUCCCCUUUCCCGUUGUACUGAGCAUAAGGAACAGACGUUAGUAGUCUCACCUUCUUCACACCACUUACCCAAAAUCUCACUGCAGGUUUCUACAACAUCUGAUGCUUAUUAGUGCCUCAACUUUCUGAAGGCAUGGGGCUGGGAGUCUGGUUUUUUUCUUAGUUACUUUAUCAGUGCAUUAAGGUGGUGGGAUGAGCUCUGGCUAUGUUCUGAAAUCUAUCCAGAAGGUAAAAAAAGACCCUCAAGUGAAUUUCUGUUGUGAAGUCUUGGGAUUUUGAGGCUAAUGUCACGUUUGUGGCAGGAGGAACUGGUUCACUGAGAUGUUGUGUUUACUAGACGGUGAUGCAGAACUAGCGAAGGUAAAGCAGCAGCAUGUGGUCUCUGUGGAGCUUUCCCAGGGCAAAGAGUGUGGAUGGGGCUGGAGGUUGUUUUGGCUUCCUCAUGUUUCAGCAUCCUGGGGUGCUGCUAGAGGAGACUUCUCCGUCUGAUAGAAGGGGUGUUCUGAACUGUUAUGUGUAUAGCAGUUUACCUGUAUUUGUGAAGAAUGUGCAGUAGCUGGUGAGAAGCCCGCAGCAGCUGGAGCUCAGGGAAGAGGGGUGCCGUGUUUCCGGGACUGAAGCCACUAGCUGUUUGCUGCCAGCAGCUCCUCUGCUCAGCUCCAGCCCUGUAUGUGAGCUGAGCCCAUGUCUAGGAGCUAAUUGAUUGUAUUCUCCUGUGCAGAUUUGACCUCAGUAGUUGUACACCCUGAUCCCCAACAGUGUGUGGUGGAGAGCAAUAACAUGAAUGAACCCCAGCAGCUUGCAGUGACGGCACAUUGCAAACAGCACUGACAAUGGAGCAGACAGGGAUGAGACACUGCAGGGCAGGGGGUGAUCCCCCUGAAAGGGGUGACAAGUACUUUGAAACUGCUUUGAGAUAUGCUGUGCUGGAGUGGCAGGGAGAAGGGGAAGAAGCAAAUAGCACGCAGUUUGGCACCUUGAUUUGUUUUUGGGUACCCUUGAGCUGUAUAAUUGACUCUUUGUUCUCAAAGAUUGGCAUUAUUACUCUAAAUUUCAUAAUUUUCUCGAUACAGAGCUCACUUCAGAAUGACAGCAUUUGGAAUAUUGCUCUGAAACAUUUGGAUCAUUACAAUGGAGCUGGGUGUUAUAGCCAGCCAUUACAUUUUACUCUGCAACGGGUGCAAUUAGAGAUACAGCUUGAAAGUAAAAUGUGGGAAAAUAUGACUAUAGGGGGGGCGAAAGGGAGGAGAGGAAAAAUAUUGCCUUAGAAGCUGAUUCUGCAUAGGUAAGAAGAAAAAGGUUCAUGGCUAGUUCAUCAGAAUGAAACCCGGAGUGUUCCAGAUGGGGCGGGCUGGCUGGCUGGGGCGUUUUUAACACCCCGCUUGCUGCAGGGUCUGGCAGGUGUCGGAGCUGCUGCUUGAGCACAGGGGAAAACUGCAAUGACUGCCGAGUUCAGCGGGCACUGCUGCCUCUCACAAGGGCGCACAGAACCACAGGCUUGCCAGGGAACUGAGGCACAAUGUCCCUCUUCCAGCCCUUUUCUUUCUUCUGCAAGGCUGGAGAUGAUCUGACUGACCAGUGCAAAGAGAUGCAGUACUGUAUCCUGUGGCAGUCGGAAGAGAAAAUAACUGUCAAGUCUGGGCUCACGGAGUAAACUGGGAGUGGUUUAACCUUCUUACGAGUUGUACCUUGAAGAAGCAUGAGAGCUGCCGUGUUCCCCGGGACUGCUCGAUGCCUCCCUUCCUGAUUCCCCAGCUUCUUAUCCGUGCUGAGCUUCAGGCACUGGAGCUGAAGGGAUGAUGCCCUCAGGACGCUGGCUGCCCCCAGGGUGUGUAUGACGACGUGGAUGUCAGCCCAACAACAGAGGUGGGAUAAUUUCAGGUCUCCAACCACACAACCUUUAAGAGCUUUCCCCAGUGUCUGCUCCAAGCUGUUUGCGAGUCUUGCCCAAACAGACGUGGUGCCGUGUCCCGGAGCAGCUGCUCCACUGCUCUGGUGACCUCUUCCACACCAUGGAGCUGGGUCCUGUGCCCCACCUGAGGAAGGGAAGGGGAUGAGCUUUCCAUUUUGCAUAUUUUGGGGGUUCAGGAUCUGCUUGAGGCCAUGUGUGGGUGACAGUGAUGUUUCCUCUUCCUCUUCUUGCUUUGCUUCUGGUUGAAAAGCUUUUUAGUUUUUGUUUGUUUGUUUUCAGAGGAAGAGCAAAGGACUAAAACCUUUCAAGCUGCUUAUGCUCUCUUACAGAUUUUAUGCAAUGAUACUCUUAUUUAUAACAGCAUCAGGUCAGAUUUAGGCUUUUCCUACCAGUGUUUAUGAAGAUGCUGGCAAGUUUAUGAGUCCUUGUCUUCCAGAGCAAAUAAGUGAGUAACGUUUUCAGUGAUCUUAUUGUACCUACAGUUUUCUGCAGUUCACUCUGGAAAAUCUAAACUGGAGAAGCCAUUGGCAUCUUUGUGAUGUUGGGGCAGGGGAGUUGGAUUUGUUUGUUGGUUGGGGUGGUUUUUUGGCUGGGAUUACAAGGCUAAUACUUAAUCAGAAAUCCAUAGUUUUCCAUGGUUCUUAAAACAUUUCAGUGUAUUUUACAUUUAAAUAGAAAUAAGGCCUCCUUGAAACAAAUUUAUUCCAGUUGGCUUUGCACAUUGAUGAUUAGAGAAUGUGGUUCAAUUUUUUUUCUCUCAUUCUGAGCAGUGUCUCAUUAGAUUUGCUUUUUAUUGCUUUUCAUAUCCAUCAUGAUUUGUGUCAGCAGAAUGGUUAUCUAGAUGGACAGCUUAUUAUCAGCUUUAAGUGAAGAAACAGAACACAAGAAUGGCUGCUAAAAAAAGGGAAAGGUAAUUAACAUUGGGUGCCAGAAUAUAAAUGAAGCUUGACAUUUCCACUUUGUUAAUCCAAAUUAACCCCUGUCUUAAUGUUACAGAGUGCAGGAGGGGAUGCUGCGCCUCUGCCCAUGUCUCUGGAUCUCCCUGGCGCUGCACGUCCUGGCGCAGUGUGGUGCAGCGUGGCGAUGCCCGGUGUGGCUUCACGGGCUGGCGUGGUGGGAUCUGUUAAAGGUGCGGAAACCACUGCAGGGCUCCUGCACCCAAAUCCGCGCUGCUUAACCUGAGCUGCAGGUCACCCAUGGCAAAAGGUUUUAGUCUGUUGGGAAUUCAGACAAUUGUUUUUUCAGCACGCUUUGCUGUCCCCUCCUUAAUUUUCUCAUCCUAAUGUGAUAUGUCUGCAAAGUAAUUAGGCUCAGCUAUUUGAUGUAUAAAGUGGGAAUGGGAGGGAGGGUCAGGGAGGACAAAUUAAAAUGAAUCAGGAAUCUUUAAGUGAAGAGAAAAGAGGACUGGAGGGAGCCAUGAUAACUCUUUACAAAUACUUAGAGGGACAUAAUAAAGAGGACAGGGACCAAUUACUCUCAUUAGUCAGUGUGAACUGAACAAGUCUUGUGCUGCAGAAAGGAAACCCAGAUUGCGAUGGAACAGUUGGAAACAAACAGCAGAGAAGGAGCCGCCCCGGGAAAGUGUGGGUCCUGUGCCCCGGGAUGGCACCCAGAGGUGCUUCAGCCCUCGGAGGGCUCUUGAGGGGCCGCAUGCUGCUGUGCCCAGCUUGCCCAGACACACCAACUUGCCUCCCUAAGUUGCUGAAUAUUUUUGAAGAUGUGUUGUGAAUGUUCAGUGCCCCCAGUCCUCUUCCUGCUGCCGGUACAGGAAACCUUGAACUUCUGUCCAGAUGUGGAAGCUGCUCUGCUUAACGCCUUCCCAUGCCGUAAGCCCGCGGCAGCAGCUGCCUGCCUGGAGGGGUGUGCUUCAGACAGCUUUGGGGAGACCAGACCGUGCCACUGAUCCUGGUCUGCCGCUGUCACCUCUGGGGUCAGCACCAGGCUUGCCUGAGGCAGGCUGCAGUGAGAGCCCGUCCCCCAGGGCCAGCAGAUGUUCUGCCCCUGCCUGGCUGUCCUCUUGGUGCGGAGGGGUUAUGGGUCCAGCCUCAGAGUGUUGUUGUGGAUCCUAAGGAAUCAGCGCUCGCAGAGCUGUGAGCAGUGCAGGGACCGGCUGCUGCUGGACUGUUGUGAGGUUGAAAAUGCCCUUAGCACCUUUCAAAAGCAACCAGUAGAACCAUUUUAUUGCCUGAUAACUGUGCAAUUAACUUGUGUCACCACUGUAUACUGUUUCUUUUGCCAUAAUAUGGAGCUUUUAAGAAAAAAUUAAACCUGCCAAGCAUCAUUACAUGGUAAGUCUACCAAGCAACUAUUCAGAUUUCAGUGGCCUUGACUGAAGAACCUGGAAGAGUUCAGACAACUGAGAAAUGCAGGCAUCUGGCCAGACUCCAGAUAAUUUACCACUACAUUAGAGAUAAUUCUUUGCUGGGUUCAUGUAUAUACCUGGUGAUUCUUAUUCAGCUAUGGAAAUUUUUCCUGUUCUCCUAUAUGUCCUCAUUAUUCGAGGUGACACGUUAGAUACCAACGUACAGUUUGUUGCUCCUGCUCCUUCUGAUCGUAUACUUCUCAUUGAAGUGGCAGUGAAAGUGAAAAAAAAAACUUGGGAGAAAUCUGAGUGCGAAUCGUGGGGAGGGUAUUAGCAUUUGGUGAGCUGGGCACAAGAAUCAGUCAGGAAAUUAAAAGGAGGAUGAUAUUUUGAGGUGACAAAACAUUAAAAUAUAAAACUUGCAUUUGAGUCAGAUCCAGCCUCAAUUUUUCCCUUUUUAAGCUGUUGCUUGUGAAAAGCUUGAGCCCACGCCAGUAACAAGUGAAGUCUUUGGGCUGUUGCAACAGGGAGAAGGGAGGCUGAAUUAAAUUGUGUUAGAGCUUGGUGAUGUCCUGAUGAAAUGAGAUAUGCAGCAGCAGGUCAAAGGACAGAGAAAGUGGCCAUGGCAUUGAACCAAAAAGGCAGGAGAGCCUACUUAGAUGAUGUGUUAAUUAAGGUAGUGUCAUCACAGCCAUCCCUGUUGGUGUGGGCCGGUGAGCAAGGAGGAGGCAGUGAAACGGGCAUCGCCUCUUUGAUAAUGGAUUUGGCUUGGCCAGCUACUACCCCGACACAAAUGUGACAGCAGCGACAACCCUUCAUGCUGCAGCUUUGGCUUGGGUGGCUCCUGCCACGCCACUAGUGACUGGACAGACAGGGCGAGUGCAGGACACCCAGCGUGGCAGACAGGGCAAGUGCAGGAUACCCAGCGUGGCUUCUACCUGCCUGGUGUGCACACUCGACUGGAAGGUCUUUAACCUGUAAAAAGAAAUAGCAGUGUGGGUCCUUCCCCCAUCCUCCAGCUUCAUGCACUUCUCAGGCUGACUCAAAGCUCACUUGAAGGUUGGCCAGGGAGGUCGGGGAAGGUCCGUGCCCUGCAAUCUGCCUUCGACAGAACAGGGAUUGUGGAACAGUUUCUGUGUUUCUCUGCGAAUAACAGAAAUUAUUUCACGCAGGUGUGACAUCUGGGGGGCAGUGCUGUACAGAUUCUGGGGCUGGCUCAGGACAAGGCCAGUCCCGUGGCCGGUGCGAGGGCUGCCAGCCGCUCAGCAGCCUGUGAAGGCGACGGCCAAGCAUCGGCAUGCAGGCCCCGCAUCCCUGGUACCUGCACAGCCUGAGCACGGACCGACGUGGCAGGGAACGGGCACCGGCUUCCUCCUCUUGCAUGAAGCCUCAGUUAUUCACUGGAGUUGCAGCUGACGCAAAUUCAACAAACUUUCAAAAGGGGAUUAUUUUGCCUCAGCUGCCUCAACUCAAAAAGAGAAAAUAAAAAGCAAACAGAACGCAGAAAAGCGGCCUGGGAAGGAGAAAGCCCAACGGUUUUGCCACCUCGCCUCCACAUGGCACUCAACAGCCGCUGUCUUUCGCUGCCCUUGGGGUGAACACCAAGCACAAGAACCAGGGGGAAAGCUGCCCAACUAUCAGCCACAAAUGGAACUUCAAAGAACAAAAGGGGGAAAUAUCAACUGUCACAGAGACUGAACUGUCCUGAGCUGGAUGUUUUCAUCACUAUCCGGGCUGAGAAAGAGCUAUUUUAUGACAGACUGUAAUAAUCCCUCAGGAAAAGCAUCUAAGACCCAGGCACGUGGACAAUGACAUUUUUCAUAUCAGCCUGCCCAGUCUUCCCAGCUUAAUCGGUCCCGUGCUGAAGCCCAGCUCAAGUCAGUGCUCCAUCCCCUGUGAUGGACCUCACUCCUUUGAUGGAGCUCACCCCUGGGCGUUUUUCAGCCACCCUUGCACGCCUGGUCCCCCGAGCAGCCUGUGCUAGGCAGCUGUCUGGGCUGCCUGCGUCACCAACAGGAGCAUGUGCCUGCCCGGGGGCAGCCCAGCCAGGACAGAGAGCUCACCUGCACGGAGGGUCUGCAGCCCCCUCCCCUGCUGCCGCCACGGCAGGAGCAUCAGUCGCCAUCGAGAGUGUCAUUCACCUCCUGCAAGGCAGUUUUCUUUUAGGUUGCUUUCGUGGUGACUCGUUUUACCUUUAAUAUGUUUUGGCAGAACUGAGGUAUUUAUUUCAGCAAAGUAGUGAAAAUAGUUUUGAGCAUGUUGGCAAUCUAUGCAAUUCCUGUCAAGUCACUGCUUUUUUAAUGCAGUGGCUUGGAUUGAUCUGACUUAGCUCUAAGCAUACACAAUCAAUCAAGAUCAAACUUUACACCAUAUACAAUUUCCUAAUUUUUAAUAACUUGCACAGUGAAAUAUUUUACCAGUUCUGACACGUCACUGGCUCACAAGGUGCUGGCUUCUUUUGCUUUCUCUAUAAUCCACUACAACAUUUUCAUUUCCCUCUUCAUAGGAGUCAACGGGACAGGUAAGAGCUCUGAGUGGUUUCGACAACGUAUGACAAUGGUGAGUGGUUUUCAAAAUACAACACCUCUGACUGCGGAAAACUCCCAGCAGUCACCGUUUCUUUCAUUUUUUUUAUUUCCUGUGGGAUUUAAGAUUCCCAUUGUCCUCUCCUACCCUGUGACCCAAACAAUGAUUUCCUAUUAGUAUAUAGAUCUAGUAUGAAUGCUCCUGAGAAGACAUGACACGUUCUUGCUUAGUUACUUACACAUUGCUAUUCACUUGCAAGCACACCAAACUCUGCAAAGUCACUGGCAGAAUGACUUUCAUGUCAAUAAAAGGUUUUAAGGGAACGAAAUUGUAUUACAGGCUAAAACAUCGCCAGUCUGGGUUUUAAGAGCCACAUUUGAUUCUUUAACCAGGUACAUUUUCCUUCCACUAGAGCUUUACAGCCUACAUACCAGAUUACUUCUCAAAUCUCUUUUUAAUUGGAGCUGGUUUUGUAAGGCAGCUACAUGUAUGUUAUUUGAUAAAUACAUGACAAGUAAAUGCCCUUAUGCCAACUCUUUAAAAGUAGCAAGCAAGUUUUAUAAAUGUGCUUCAUAAAUAGCAGCAUUUUCUAAUUUCAUAGAACAACAAGAACAAAUCAGCUUCUUUCAGAGAUAGAUUAGUUCCCUGUAGACAACACAUUGAUCCCAACAGAUUUCCAUCUAUUUUCAGGAUUUUUAAAGAACAGCCAUUGCCAUUCAAUUAUCAUGCUUCAUUAAACAACUUAAAAUCCAUACAUUGUGUGCUUCUAGUUAAAAAAGUUCAGUAACCUUGUUUAUGACAUGUAAUGUGGUGUUUGUUCAGAGAAAUCCAGCAGAGCAAGUGUGCGGCCACACAGCAUCGUCACCACCAUGCGCUGCUGGGAAACUCCGAGGGAAAACUGCCACAGCCCAUGUCCCGGGGCAGCCAGUGCCUCCCCUCGCCCGGCUCUUGGGAACCAGCAUGCCUCGCUGCAGGGAGAAAUGGGGAUGUCUGCAGGUGACACCACAUUGUCCCUGCACAACUGCCUAAUGACAGCUGACUGGGGAAAAACCCCAACUGCAGCAGGCUGCCCAAUGGGAGCUGCAAACCAUCUUCAGGACACAGCGUGUGUCAGGUGCUUCACUGGGGAAAUAUGACUAUCCUUCCUCUGCCAGUGAGCAGGCAGCCUCUGAUGUUACAGCUGGCUUCGAUGAGCACUGGACUCCUGCAGCUCUCAGGGUGACACUGAAUUUUACUAUGAAACACAAGGCACUGUAUAAAAGUUAAUUGCCCCUGUGUGUUGUAAAGCCAGGGACCAAUCUUCAGUCGGUGUCAGCAGCACAGCACAGCGCUGUCUCUGCGCUGGCUCCCAGUCAGAUAAAAAGAUGCCAGCCACACUGAAUUUCCCCCCUCCUCCCUCCCUCUGGUGUACCUCACCCAUCUGGUCCUGGGGGAGAAGGCUCUGCUGCUGGGGGGCACCUGCUGCCACCACCUACAAUGCUCAAGAUUUUACCUGAAAUCACAGAGGAAAAGUGAGAGGGAGGCAACAAGCAAACCCAUGCCUUCCGAAUGCGACUCCAGAGCUCUAACUGAAGGUCACCCACACCUCUGUUUAGGGUUUAUUAGUUUUCAUAUUUGUAUAGUCCUUCACAAGCAUUUCAAGCGAUGAGCAAUGACAGCUCAUGUAUAUGUGUCUGCGUACACACACACACACACACACAUAUACAUACACCCUUACAUCUGACCACUGUGCCAAAGAAAUUAUGUUUCACAUCAUUUCUAGUGUCAUCUUUGAUUAAUUUGCGUCUCUUUUCUCAUUAUAGCUCAUCCCUCAUUUCAAAGGUGUCCUUCAACUAGGACACUGGGAAAAGGCCGAGAAGUGAAAAAACAGCAAGAAAUAAUCUAAAGCUCAGGAACCAGAACGAAAGUGGCAAUAAAACGGCUGCAGGAGAGGGUCCCCAGCGUUGCGGUCCCUUGGCUCCCUCCACACAGAGAGCGACCAUUCUGCUGGAUUACCGGAGGGUACCCUCUGCUGUCGCGGUGUAAAUCAUGGCCACAGCUCGCUAUGAUAUCGCUAUUAAAAUAGUCUGAAAACAUCAUAAACAGAACUCACCUGGGGCAAUAUUUCAUCUUAAGGUUUGAUGACAAAGUCAGCAGCACCUAAACAUGUCCUUCAGCUAGAGGUCAGCCCUUUCUGCACACCCUACUUUAAGACCUGUGUAAUGCCAACCUCCACACCCUAUUCGCAUGCCCUUGAAACGCCGCCGUGAGACCAGAUGGAUUCAAGUCUCACCUUGAAAUCCCACUUUGUAAUUCAGCCGAUAUGUCGACAGGAGAGGCCGGCUUUCCGUUGCACCAUGGGGAGCUCGCUGGCGAUCUCUGACCUUGUGCUGUAGAGCAUCCUAUAAGGGUCUUCAUCUGGAAAUCCUGCAGGACAGAUGACCUGGCCAUCAGUCCUUGAAGUCUUCAGUGCAGCUGACAGGUCUUGUAACACAUUAGAAGUACAUUUUAAAACAAGGUCAGUCAGUGUGCUACACCGCACCUACCAUGUAAACAGAAAAUCAAUGUACACAGAGCUGCUCGUCUUUCUGUGAGAUGUGCCCCCACUGUAACGCCCGGGACAGCCGGCACCACCGCCACGUAUCAGCAAGGGCACCUCGCUUUGGUUACAAGAUGGUUUUCCACAACAAGCAGGUGUCUACACAGCAAAGUCACACCUAAAAAGAAGCAGUCCAAGGUACACGAUAGACAAGACAGACAGGGAGAGACAAUAUUUGCUUCUCAAAAGCUAGCGAGUGCCCGCCUGGCAGCAGUGCGGAGCUCUGGGAGUGACCCUGGGGCGGCCGGAGAAGCACCUCACAGCCAGUGUUUCUUAAUUCUCCUAGUGCAUGUGGCAAAUGAGAAUAAUUAUAUAUAAAAUUAUAUGACUCAGACUAGUUAAUUAUCAAAGUGAAAAAACAGAACAAUGCACAACAUUUCCCAAGAUUGCCGAAAGCCUUUUAAACCAGGCUGCCUUUCAACAGCAGUUAUCAGCUUCUAAUUAAAUCCAACUCCAAGCCCUUUUGCUCAAAUGGAGCCAGUAACAGAAAUCUAAUAGGAUGUCUUUUGUCCAAACCAUGUGAGUAAACAGUUUGAACCCCGUGACAAAGAUUGCUUUCUGCCACCUUGCAGAAACCUCACUUUCUGACUAAGCUACGUAUUCACAGCGAAUGGAACAUGGAAAUGACUGGUACCACAUUUCUGUUUUUGCAAUAUAUGAGGUAAACCAACACCAACAGGAGACCUUCCAAGAGAAGCAGUUGAAAAGAAUGCCUUUUUAUAUUCAAAAUCUGCUCUGUGUCUUUUUGGUCAAAAAAGCAUUUUGCAAUUAAAAUUUUUCAUCAGAAAUGGAACACUCUUUCCAGCUUUGCAGAAGAAAAAAUGGUAUCACCUGGUGGCACAGACAGUUGCGCAGAACACAAGCACUUGCCUUUAAGCAUGUAGGAAGCCUGAGUGUGUGAUUGUACAACAUCGAAACAAUUUGUUCUCUGCCUAAUACAAAAAUAAACAUUAUGAAAUUCACUAAGUGAUAUAUUUUGUCCCAGGAGAGAUUACCUUCAGAAAUACAGAGACAGUAAAAUACUCAUCUUUCAUUAUCAUGCCAGUUUUCAAACAGCUGGGAAAUAAAUACUGCUACUUCCCUCAAAUGAGGAGACUAGAUGAAGACAACGUUCUACCUCUGCCUCCCUCAACAACAUUUUUCCCUUUUCUCAUGGAGAUUUUGCAUUUCAAUUAAAUUUCCUCUUUAUUACCACCUUUUUUUUUUUUUAAACUUUAUCUGGCACAUCUUUUCUUCCUA